ACAGAGGAAUUACUUACAUCCCAAUGAUACCACCAGCCAAUGUAUUCACAACAGCAGUGAUUUGACUCACAGGGUCGCAGACACAGGCCCUGAGUGGACAACAAUCUGUUUCUCAAGUUGCUGUAUCCCAACCAUCAACUUCCCCUAACAAGAACUCUAGUGGAUGGAGACCAAUGCUCGACCUCCCAGAAUUCAACAAGGUUAUCAGAAACACAAUGAUUCAAGAUGGUCACACUAUACACUAAAAGUGACUGCCUGCUAAAACCCAGCAGAUAGCAUUGCAAGCCACCGAAGAGGUGGUAACUCUCUUCACGACUCUGGGCUUCCUAAUAAAUACUGACCAGCCCACCCUAGCAACAGUGCAAGAGCUGGACUUCAUUGGGGCCCACCUCAACUCUGUCGAGGUUAUAGCCUCACUACCAAGACAACAUUCUUUCACCCUCACCAGCCUCAUACCCACUGCAUGAAAUAAGCCCACAGCUAUCUGCCAGGACUUGCCCCCAACUCCUUGACCACAUGGCAGCCACAGCAUUUGCUGUCAGACACACCAGAUUAAACAUCUGUUGCCUACAAGGAAGGCUGCAUAUCAACUUUGUUCCACACAGGCACAGUAUAAACCACCCCACGAUAUCGGGCAAAAUAAAGGACCCCUUUCUCUGGCAGGCAAAACUGACCAACGUAUGCACGGGGGCCUCCUUCAUUCAGAACACAAAUGCCUCACUCCUGGGAUGUGGAGCACACCUGCACCCACAUUCUACGUAGGGCCACUGGUCCCCUGUGGAAUUCCUUUGACAUAUAAACCUAUGUGGAAGAAGAAAAUGUGCCAAAUGUGCCAGCUAAAGUAGCAUACAACCAGAGAUCCACUUCCAACUCUGAGCAGACAUAGUUUGGCCCCAGACUCAUUCUGCUAUAGCGGCAAAUAGUCUAGGUGAUUUUCUGAUGGGUUUUGUCCUUUGCAGGUAAAACACCAGUGCUUGUCACAUGUUGAGGAAAUAAUGUCUCCUCUCCUCACAACACAUGGGCUUCAGAAAAAACACAGGUUGGAGCUGGGCGUGCUUCAGGCUAGUUGGCAACAAAGAAUGAUGCAGCCAGAGAUCCAUUUAGAGAGGCUAUGUGCAGGUAAUGCAUGAUCUGUUGAUCACUCUGCUACAAUGAUAAAUAGUCUAGGUGUUUUCUUAAUUGCUUUCGUUCACUGCAGACAGAACGCCAGCGCCUAUUGGAUGUCUACAGAACAAUGCCUUCUCUCAUCAGAAGCAUGAGGUUUUGGGAAAAGUACUGACCUCCAAAUGAUAUCUGAAGAUGGAGUACAAAUAUGGUUGCUGACUGGCCCUCUUGGCUUGAUUUGCCUGUUCCUAGCCCGGCAUCCACAUACAGGAAGACUGGUAGCUAUUGCAUCUCAGCUGGGCUACCACCACAGAGAAGACUUUCAUGAAGACCAUGGGUACUCUCACCAGCCUGACUUGGAAUACUCUGAACUGACUGCACUCUUGUCCUACCAUGAAUCUGUGAAACCUUUUGUGGGAGUGGUGAAUAUCCAUAUGAAAGUAAACAUUUCAUGUCAAGGGUCAUGAUCCCUGUGUUCUGCUCCAGGGAGGGAAUUACUGAUGGCAGUGUUAUCAUGAAAAUCUUGCAAAUAAUUACAUUUAGUUGAAUAGACUGAGGAUUGGUCUCCAUCCUCCAUUUUUCUUAGGAACUGUGAAAUAUGGAGAGUAGAACCCCUUUGGUUGGGGUGAUAUGUGGUCUAGGGUCCCUCUCUGAUGUAGAGUUGUCCUCCUGAUGAAGGAUCUCCUAUUGAGAGGGGGCCAGGAAGGGAGUUUGUGGAGGGGAGGUGAGAAACUCAAUUGUGUAGCCAGAGAUGAUGAUCUCUAGUACUCAUCUGUUGGUGUCAUCACCCUCUUGUUGAGUGUGUAAAGUGAUUAAGGCACCCACCAAGAUGAAGGGCAACACUGCAUGGCACCCAUAAGUACACAGUCCUUGGGUGUCCUAUCAAAAGAGAAACCCUUGGCUGGGACUGGUAGAGGUCAAAGCUGCUGCGCAACCCUUUGUCAUUUGAUGGUAGUUUGUAAAGAUGAUAGAGAGAAAAUGCUGGGCAGAGGGAAGGUCUAGGUAUGUCUGUCUGCUUGUAGCUGUUUUUCUUUGGGGCUGGUUGUAAAUGCCUAGAGAAAGGAGUGUGUGUAGUGACUUUAUUCUCAUUGAAGAGAUUAAAUUCAUCAAAGGGGAAAAUCACUCAAGAAUACUCUGGAUCUCCCUGCAGAACUCCAAACAAUGAAGCCACAUGGCUCUAGUUGGGUUGUCAGCUGUGUCCCUGGUGUCCAAAGUGAUGUCUUAGACACCAACCUGUUUUCUUCAGUGAGGGCUUUGUAUGUUGAGAGAGUAAAGCUGCUGUUCUUCCUUUGAAGUGUGGCGUCUGGGAAAGAAGGUAAACAGAUCUAUGGAUUGGUUGAGGUAGAAGCAAGAAACCAUUGUCAGUAGAAAUCUGGGAUGCCAGUUCAGUGAGACUUUGUCCUGAUGGAAUGUGGAGAAAGGGUGAUUUACUAUCAAUCAGUUUGCCAACUGUUCCUGCAGAGGUAAUAGUGAUGAGGAAAGUGAGAGGGAACAGGAGGCCAGAGGUUCAAAGGCUGAGCUCAUCAAUGCGGUAAGGACAAGGUUGAGGUCCAAGGAGCAACAGGCUGCAUAUAAGGCCCUUCCAGUAUCAGGCAGUCAAAGGGUGAGUGAAAACUGAAUGUCCCUCCAUAGGAGGUUGCAAAGCGCUGAUAGCAGCUACGUGCACUUUGCUGGAGCUGAGAAAGCUCUGAAGACUUCAGAUGGGAAAUAAUCUAAGAGCAUUGGGAUGGUAGGCCCAGGAAGUGAAACAUGUCCACUGGGGUUGGUGACAAUCCAAGCCUUGCCAAGUUACUAAAAGCCCUUACUUGUUUUUGUCACUGACUGAGAAAGGACAGGGCAGGAGGUUUUCUAGUUUUUACAACUUUCUCUAUUGGAAAUAGUUUUUACAUUAUUAAAAACAGACAACUUCUACUGGACCCAGAAUUCUCUCUCAGCGCUGUAUGGUCUGAGCUGGAAGUGAAGAGGGGUUAAUCCAUACCAGAUGUUAUGCCCUUUGGUUGGAGCAUAUGAGCAACUGUAUGUUGACCAAUGGAUAAUACUUGCUCCAAACCUCUUACCUCAGUUGCACAGAGCACAUGCAUACCCAGAAGUGCACUACACAGCUGGAUCAGCACUCAAACAAGAAUUAAGUUAUUUCCUUCUUUAGGAAAGUGACUGCAUUACCAACUUGGCCUGGAAGGAAAUCCAGAAAACUGCAAUUGUUAUUUCAAGAUUCGAAAAGGACAAGUGUGAUGAGCUGACAAACUCAGUUGGUUAAUCUAUCAUCAAACCUGGGCAAAACAAUGGAAAACUGACAUGGCAUUCAGUUGAAAGGAUAGAACUAAUUAAAGCCAGUCAACCUGGUUGAUGGAAAACAGCUCAAACAC